AGUUUAUUGUUGAUUAUAAUAAAUGGUUCCUGCCCAGUGAUUAAUUUAAACGGCCGCGGUACUCUGACCGUGCAAAGGUAGCAUAAUCACUUGCCUCUUAAUUGGGGGCUGGUAUGAAUGGAAGUUCGGGAGUUAAGCUGUCUCUAGGCUAAAUGUGGAAUUUGCUGUUUCUGUGAAGAAGCAGGGGUAAUGCAAAAGGACAAGAAGACCCUAUUAAGCUUUACUUUUUGAUGUAGUUCUAAUCAUUGGUGUUGUAAGGGAUUGCAGUAAAAAAAGUUUGGUUGGGGUGACCAAAGAAGACGAAAUCUUCUUUUUUUUAUAAACAGAUUGGUUUAUAGUUGAUCCGAAAAAUUUCGAGCGAAAGAAAAAGCUACUAUAGGGAUAACAGCGUUAUUUUUUCUUAGAGUUCUAAUCGAAGAAAAAGAUUGCGACCUCGAUGUUGACUUGUCAUAUCCUGUAUUGUGGUGCAGAUGUGCAAGGGUUGGUCUGUUCGACCAUUAAAAUGGC
rnacentral:rRNA from 1 species